CCUUACUCUGGAACAAACUGAGCAUGCUCGGUUGCCAAAGUAACCAGAGGAAGUGGUAGUUUGACCCUAAGAGGGCGUGAUUAUUAGGAAGCUGCGUGAUUGACCCUUUCCCUCCAGUGUGAACAGAAAACAGAGUAUUGGAAGGCACUCUGCAGCUACUGAAACUAUUGUUUCAGAGAAAGACAUAUUGGAAUUCAAAGAGAGGGGCAAUGCACUUCAAGCAAGGCAGAGAAUACUUGAUCAAAAUGAGAACAAACUACUCCCUUCCCAACAAGAAUUAAAACCACAGCUUUUGAAGAAAGAGAUACCACCAAUUGGCCAGGUAUAACAGAAAAGCCUUACCGUCAUCUCACAGCGCCCCUUGGUGUUCAUUCGCGAUCAAAAUAUCAUCAACGUAUAAAACAAGGACUGAACCCCGUUCUGGGGUGAACCCCUCGAGAUCAUCCCGCAGACACUGGCUAAACACUCCGGGACUAUCGCAAUAUCCCUGAGGAAUUCGGGUCCAAACGAAGGAGCGCUGGUCCCAUUCGAACCCGAACAAAUGCUGCGAAUCUGGGUGGAGAGGAAUGCUAAAAAAGGCAUUUUUUAGAUCAAUAACGGUGAACCACUUCGCGUCCCACGGAAUCUGGCUGAUGAUUGUUACUGGAUCUGGAACAACCAUGUGUAAAGGGAUCACAUACCUGUUCACCGCUCUCAAGUCUUGACAAAAUCUCCACCGAACUGGGUCUCCGGGUUUCUUUGGGGGCUUUUUUAUAGGUAGAAUAGGUGUAUUACAGGGGGUUCGCUGCGGCCGGAUGACUCCUUUUGCAAUAAAACCUUCGAUUAUGGGACGUAUGCCUUCUCUUGCUUCCAAUGAUAGCGGGUACUGAGCAACUCUGGGUGGGGGAAGAAAAGGCUUUACCUGGAUUCUCACGGGGCUUACUGAUCGCAGCAAUCCCACGUCUGUGUCUUCUGUACCCCACAGAUCCGGUGGUAGAUCAGCAAGAUCUUCUGGUAGACUGUGUCCUGAGUGUUUAUGUUUAACUGCAGUUCCCACUGGAACCCCCAAUACACUCAUCAGUAAACCCACCCCAUCAGGGGUGCAGGUUAAGGUAGCCUCCAGUUUACAUAACAUGUCACGGCCCAUGAGGGAAAUGGGACAUGAGGCGGAAUAAAGA